UCCUCCCAGGUGUAUUUAACGUGACGAAGCUUCUGCAUUUUGCAAUCCUGAAACUUCACGAAGGAACUAUUCAAUAUGGAGUUACCAGUAAGGAGCUCCACCGUGACUCUCCUCCCUGCUCCGUUGCCCCGACGAGGAAGUGUGAAAACGUUUCUGGCUCCAUCCAAGAGUUACUUCCCUGAAGAAGAGAGGGCUUUGUUGAAGUCUUCCCAUGCUUUCUGCACAGGGCUCUGGCCUUGGAGAAGGGAUUUCCAGUUACCGCAGUGUCACUUGGCCCUGGGUCUCCUCCCGGGAGAGAGAAGUGUACGGCUCCCAAGGUUCCUGGCAGUUUUGAAAGAGCUCUCAGCCACAGCCAGCUUUACUUUGGUAACUUCAGUACGCCAGCACGGUUGAGAACUAUUGUUCAACGCGAACUUCACAUAUGAAGCCCCUCUCAUGUGUCAGGCACGGCGUCAGAUGCUGCAGCCUACAUUGAUUAAGACAGAUGCUAAGAAUAUGAAGGUGAAGAAAUGUCCCAGUACUUCAUGGGAACACAUCCCAGUGGCUUACAGAAUCAAAGAUGAAAGAGAGAGGGAUACACGUGGUUGCUGGCUCUUCCCUGCUGCUCAGAUGCCUGGAUCACUUGACUGCCUUCUCUAUCAAAGGGUGAAGUGUCUGUUGUUCAGGCUGGAGUGCAGCCUCGACCUCCUGGACUGAGGUGAUCCUGACAUGUAAGCCUAGCGAGUAACCAGGACUAUAGAUACGUGCCACCAUGCCUGGCUAAUUUUUUUGCAGAGACAAGGUCUCCUUAUGUUGGCCAGGCUGGUCUCAAACUCCCUUGGCUCAAGCGGUCCCCUGCCUUGGCGUCCCAAAGUGUUGGGAUUACAGUCAGGAGUCACUGCACCUGACCUGAAAAUAUUUCUAAUCUUUGAGUUAAUGCCUGUUACUCAGGAAAUACAAUGUAUACAUAGAAAAUUCUGUAUUUGAAUUUCGGAAAAUUUUGAAAAAUUUUAUUCUAUUUAUAUGGUUGUGUUUAUUAAAAGGGCCUCCAUUUCAUAUACCUUAACAAAGAAAGGUAUAUGAGUUCUAACUUCUUAGAUUAAAUGUCUUUUUAAAUUAAAAAAAAAAAGUAAUUUUCAUGGUGUUCUGUUGGGAAUAGCACAGUGCUGUGGGUUUGUGAGAUAAGGAGCGAGAGUGUUCCUGCUGGGUUAGAAUCGUUUGCUUCUUCCACAGGGAAAGAGAAUUCUAUAAUGGACUCUAGUGAGUUGUGACUUACUUUGGCCAAUGAAGCCAUUUUUUGAUGGGUUUUCUCCAUCUCCUGUUUCCUUUCUGUCUCAAGAUCAGCAAUGCUUCCGAUAGAGGCUGCCACUCAGUUCCGGGUGUGGAGCGGAAGCUGAGCUGGCCUGCCAUGCACACCAAUGUGAACUGUUUAUUGUUGUGGGUCAUGUGAUUUUGAGGUUGUUUCUUACUGUGGUAUGGCCCAGCCUGUCCUGACUCUUAUAGCAAUGGAUAUUUUCCCUACACUGCAAUCUCAGCCCUCAGGGAUGCGUCCCCGCCUUGAGAAAUAAGAUUCAUUCAGAGGAUGUGGUUGUUUUCUUUCUCACCGAGGAUGCAGGGAAGAAGGAAAUGGGCUUUGCAAGAAUUUUAGUGAAGAUAAAGCCAGCUCAUUAUCCAUGAAAAAUACACAGAGCACAGGGUUUGAAGUCAGAUAGUCCUGAGUUUAAAUCAGAGCUACUACUUAUGUGCCGUGUAGCCUUAAGGGAAUUAUUCAAUCUUUCUAAAAAUCAAAUUUUCUUUCUAUAAACCUGGGAUAAAAACACUUAUAUUUACAGCGUUUAAUUGCAUACUGAUUAAAUUAUAUAUAUGAAGAUAUAUACAUAUAUGUAUCGCCCU
rnacentral:lncRNA from 1 species